CAGUUACUUCCAAAGGCAAACGACCGUCAUCUUUAUAGAUAUUGUCAAAAAUGCAUUUCUUGUGCACUGUUAUGUUGCUUGUGGCAAUUCUAACAUUAUUCUCAGCGGUAUCUGGGUCUGGAUCUGGGUCUGAGGACUAUUCUACACAGGCGACCCCGCCUGAAAGAACUUCUAAUCCAGCACCAAAAUUGACGGUAUUUGGGUCUAAACCUGGAUCUAAGUCUGGGGCAAAUAAAAUACACGGAAAAGCGGCUUAUGUAGAUAAAA